UCAAACUUGGUCAUUUAGAGGAAGUACAAGUCGUAACAAGGUUUCCGUAGGUGAACCUGCGGAAGGAUCAUUAACAAAUCUUUCAUAUAAACCUGUUGCACUGUCCGUGGAUGCCCCAAGCGACGUUAUUGUUGUUGGGUCGGCUGAAGCGGAGCGAGGUUGAGCGGUCAUCCGCGAGGCCUCAAAUUAACGUCUACUUGUUGUUUAAUUGUUCGUAAUGAGAAAAGUACAACUAUUAACAGUGGAUCUCUUGGCUCCCGCAUCGAUGAAGAACGCAGC
rnacentral:misc_RNA from 1 species